AUGGGCAAUUUAAUUGACCUUUACAACAACAAUGUUAAUCCAUCUGUCUACAGAUUUCUGUUUUAUGUCUGGGAAGGGAAGAUAAUGUCAUAUGAAAGCCAUUAUUUAGACUGGACUUUGACUCUCAGUGAUGAACAUGAUAAAAGAAUGGGUGACACAAAAAUCUAUGCCUAUCCACUGGUGAGGAUUUAUCAGUUAACUGCUACACUAAUGUAUCUAAAUGGGACUAUUUACGUCUAUGCUAAAUAAUGAGGAGAAAGGUAUUUUUAAUGAGGUUAAGUGCAUGGCAAAUAUGGCAGAGCUCAAAUCAUGGUUGGUCACAAGAGUAUGAUCGGUUUAGAUUUAAAUGUCAUUAUAUGAAGACUAAGGUGCUACUUUUGGUGUUGAUGUGUUUGUUGUUAUAACUGUUCUUAAUAUCCUAAAAUUGAGGUUGUACACAGCUGCUGAACUUUCUGGUUUCUUUGGUUUUCAAGCUCAGUGUCUUUAAAUAAAUAAUUUGACAUGGUUAGGCAUGCUUGGUUGGAGCUGGUGUUGUUUGAAAUGUAAUUGAAAUAUUUAGAAUAUACUAAACGCACUGGUUUGAAUUGUUUUAGACUUUUAUUAAAGCAUUUACCUUUUCUUGAGAUCCCUUGUGAAUAAAUCACUUAUAAUUUAUACUUUGCAUGUUUAUACUGGUAUAUAUUGGAAUUUUGUACUGAAUGUAUACUAAUACAUUGGAAUAUAUGCAACCAGAAUGAUCAUACUUCAUAAACUGCUCCAAUGGAUUUUUGCAAGCUGCUAUAAAAGUGUCAAGUUAAUUCAUUGUAUGUAUGCAAUAGCCUUUCCUGAAUGACAUCCCCAAACAGACUCCUAGUGAGUUUACAGCUUUAAUGGUUUAACCGUCCAGUGCAUUUCAAGUGACAGAGUCACGGCUGGAUGGACUCAGCUUCCUGCAAAGCCCAAUUAUUCUGAAUCAUUUCACUAAAGGGGCCUGAUCUAGCGUGCGCACCAAGGGCAAAUAA
rnacentral:lncRNA from 1 species